rfam:Sinomicrobium oceani strain CGMCC 1.12145 genome assembly, contig: IQ32DRAFT_scaffold00002.2
CAAGGGGCCGCCGAAAACCUUUUGAAAAGAGUAGGCA